rnacentral:rRNA from 1 species
UUGGAGGGCAAGUCUGGUGCCAGCAGCCGCGGUAAUUCCAGCUCCAAUAGCGUAUAUUAAAGUUGUUGCAGUUAAAAAGCUCGUAGUUGAAUUUCGGGAUCAAUUUAUCGGUCGUGCCUACGGUAUGAACUGGUACAAUUGGUUUCUCCCUUCUGACGAAGCGUGAUGUCAUUAAUUUGGUGUCGUGGGGAAUCAGGACUGUUACUUUGAAAAAAUUAGAGUGUUUAAAGCAAGCAUUAGCUUGAAUACAUUAGCAUGGAAUAAUGAAAUAGGACGUUUGAUCCUAUUUCGUUGGUUUCUAGGAUCGACGUAAUGAUUAAUAGGGAUAGUUGGGGGCAUUAGUAUUCAAUUGUCAGAGGUGAAAUUCUUGGAUUUAUUGAAGACUAACUACUGCGAAAGCAUUUGCCAAGGAUGUUUUCAUUAAUCAAGAACGAAAGUUAGGGGAUCGAAGACGAUCAGAUACCGUCGUAGUCUUAACCAUAAACUAUGCCGACUAGGGAUCGGAUGAUGUUAAUUUUUUAAUGACUCAUUCGGCGCCUUACGGGAAAC